GAUGAACGCUGGCGGCGUGCCUAAUACAUGCAAGUCGAGCGAACAGAUGAGGAGCUUGCUCCUCUGACGUUAGCGGCGGACGGGUGAGUAACACGUGGAUAACCUACCUAUAAGACUGGGAUAACUUCGGGAAACCGGAGCUAAUACCGGAUAAUAUAUUGAACCGCAUGGUUCAAUAGUGAAAGACGGUUUUGCUGUCACUUAUAGAUGGAUCCGCGCCGUAUUAGCUAGUUGGUAAGGUAACGGCUUACCAAGGCAACGAUGCGUAGCCGACCUGAGAGGGUGAUCGGCCACACUGGAACUGAGACACGGUCCAGACUCCUACGGGAGGCAGCAGUAGGGAAUCUUCCGCAAUGGGCGAAAGCCUGACGGAGCAACGCCGCGUGAGUGAUGAAGGUCUUCGGAUCGUAAAACUCUGUUAUUAGGGAAGAACAAAUGUGUAAGUAACUAUGCACGUCUUGACGGUACCUAAUCAGAAAGCCACGGCUAACUACGUG
rnacentral:rRNA from 1 species